rnacentral:lncRNA from 1 species
AAAGUUCUGAUUCAGAGGAAGAUGUUGAAGACGAUGUCCCUGACAUCUCUCCUAUCAAAAAGUCAACUGUUAGAAAAUCCCCUGCAAAGGUUGCUGCUGUACACCUGGAUAACAUUUCCUUCCAUCUUGAAGAUGGUGUAGCAAAGUGGAAAUUUGUAUUCCCAAGGAGAGUGGUUGUGGAAAGAGAACUGGGAAAGGAUGCUGUGGAGGUU